rnacentral:rRNA from 1 species
CUAGUUGGUGAGAUAAAAGCUCACCAAGGCGACGAUCAGUAGCCGACCUGAGAGGGUGAUCGGCCACAUUGGAACUGAGACACGGUCCAAACUCCUACGGGAGGCAGCAGUGGGGAAUAUUGCACAAUGGGCGAAAGCCUGAUGCAGCAACGCCGCGUGAGUGAUGAAGGUUUUCGGAUCGUAAAACUCUGUCCUCAAGGAAGAUAAUGACGGUACUUGAGGAGGAAGCCCCGGCUAACUACGUGCCAGCAGCCGCGGUAAUACGUAGGGGGCUAGCGUUAUCCGGAUUUACUGGGCGUAAAGGGUGCGUAGGCGGUCUUUCAAGUCAGAAGUUAAAUUCUACGGCUCAACCGUAGCCAGCUUUUGAAACUGGAAGACUUGAGUGCAGGAGAGGAGAGUAGAAUUCCUAGUGUAGCGGUGAAAUGCGUAGAUAUUAGGAGGAAUACCAGUAGCGAAGGCGGCUCUCUGGACUGUAACUGACGCUGAGGCACGAAAGCGUGGGGAGCGAACAGGAUUAGAUACCCUGGUAGUCCACGCCGUAAACGAUGAGUACUAGGUGUCGGGGGUUACCCCCCUCGGUGCCGCAGCUAACGCAUUAAGUACUCCGCCUGGGGAGUACGCUCGCAAGAGUGAAACUCAGAGGAAUUGACGGGGACCCGCACAAGUAGCGGAGCAUGUGGUUUAAUUCGAAGCAACGCGAAGAACCUUACCUAAGCUUGACAUCCUGGUGACCUCUCCCUAAUCGGAGAUUUCCCUUCGGGGACACCAGUGACAGGUGGUGCAUGGUUGUCGUCAGCUCGUGUCGUGAGAUGUUGGGUUAAGUCCCGCAACGAGCGCAACCCUUGUCUUUAGUUGCCAGCAUUAAGUUGGGCACUCUAGAGAGACUGCC